CAAAGGUGCUCGUUCCUACAGAACGUGGUUGUUCCUACCAAAAUCCAUUGUUCCAAACAGGGCCAGUCUUCUUCUGUCGCUGAAUCCGCCGGCCGGCAGAAAGUCCAAAGUCCAACUCCAACUAACUCCCUCCUUCUCCGUCGCCGGGGGCGCCAUGUGGCCUUCCUCCCGCAUCCGCCUUCUCCCGGCCUUCCGGUUCGGAACCUCUACGGCCGCAGCCUUACGCCGUCGGCUCGUCGGAGCCGGCGUGCGGCCCGCGCCGAGAGCUCUGGGAAGACCUCUGCUUGGAGUCACCGGACCAAAUUGUCUGCUUUUUCAUCGGAACGGUGCCCAUUUCGGCCGUCUCAGCUGCUAUCUGCCGCACGGCGCGCGGCCUCGCCCCGACCUGAGAUGGCAUGCGUUCUCCACAUCUGCCAAUGCUGUGGCAGUAAAUGCCCCAAAAAAGGACAUCGAUGAUCAGAUAGCAGAUACGCAGAUCCUCCGAAACCUUGUGAAGUACUUACUGUUGAACAAUAGCCCCGAUUUCCGCUUCAGACUUGUGUUAUCGGUGGGCCUCUUAGUUGGCGCAAAGGUUAUAAAUGUUCAAGUGCCUUUCCUGUUUAAGCUUGCUGUUGAUUGGCUUGCAGCCCUUGCUGGUACUGAAGCCUCAGUAGCAACAUUUACAGAUGCUAAUGCCACCUUGUUGGCUCUCUUUGCAAGCCCAGCAGCUGUUCUGAUUGGAUACGGUAUUGCACGUUCAGGAGCAUCAGCUUGUACAGAAUUGCGCAAUGCUUUAUUUUCUAAAGUGACCUUGAGAGCCACCCGCUCAGUCUGCAGGAUGGCAUUUCUUCACUUGCAUCAGCUUGAUCUUGGUUAUCAUCUCAGCCGUCAAACUGGUGCUCUAAAUCGCACAAUUGACCGAGGCAGCCGUGCCAUAAAUAGCAUUCUUACAGUAAUGGUAUUCAAUAUUGUUCCCACAAUACUAGAGAUUGGUAUGGUGUCAAGUAUUCUGGCCUACAAGUUUGGUCCAACUUUUGCUUGGAUUACUUCAGCUUCUGUUGCUACCUAUAUUGCUUUUACUUUGGCUGUCACACAGUGGCGGACUAAGUUCAGGACGGCCAUGAAUAAAGCUGAUAAUGCUUCUAGUACCGUGGCAGUUGAUUCCCUUCUUAAUUAUGAGACUGUGAAAUACUUCAAGAACGAACGAUUUGAAGUGGAGAAGUAUGACAAGUAUUUAAAACAAUAUGAGGAUGCUGCACUCAAAACCCAAAGUAGCCUUGCCUACCUUGACUUUGGUCAAAAUGUCAUAUUGAGCUCGGCUUUAUCCGCAGCAAUGGUUUUGAGCUCAUAUGGUGUCAUGAGUGGUGCUCUAACUGUUGGUGAUUUGGUCAUGGUUAAUGGACUUCUAUUCCAGCUCUCAUGGCCGCUUAAUUUCCUUGGGGGUGUCUAUCGAGAAUUUAGACAAAGUCUUAUUGACAUGAAGUCCAUGUUUCAGUUGCUUGAGGAAAAACCUGGAAUAAAGGAUGAGUCUCACGCAGAACCGUUGCAGUUCAAAGGAGGAUGCAUUGAAUUUGAGAACGUGCAUUUUGGGUAUGUACCAGAAAGAAAGAUUCUUGACGGUGCCUCUUUCAUUGUACCUGCUGGAAAAAGUGUGGCAAUUGUUGGAACUAGUGGCAGCGGAAAAUCAACCAUAUUUAGGCUUCUCUUCAGGCUUUUUGAUUCGACAUCAGGAAAGAUACGUAUAGAUGGACAAGACAUCCGGGGAGUCACACUAGAGAGUCUUCGGGAUUGUCUUGGUGUUGUACCACAGGAUACGGUACUUUUCAAUGACACGAUUAAGCAUAAUAUACAGUAUGGGCGGUUAUCAGCACAAGAUGAGGAGGUUUAUGAUGCUGCUCGGCGUGCUUCCAUUCAUGAUACGAUUAUGAACUUUCCUGACAAGUAUGACACAGUUGUUGGAGAGCGAGGAUUGAAGUUGAGUGGAGGUGAGAAGCAACGUGUAUCAAUUGCUCGUGUAUUCUUGAAGGAGCCUUCCAUUCUAUUAUGUGAUGAAGCUACAAGUGCUCUUGAUAGCACUACUGAAGCAUCAAUUCUGAAUUCCCUGAUGUCUUUAUCCACUGAUCGAACCUCAAUUUUUAUCGCUCAUCGACUCACAACUGCAAUGCAGUGCGAUGAGAUCGUUGUCUUGGAGAAUGGAUCCGUAGUGGAACAGGGCCCGCAUGAUUUUCUUUUGUCGAAGGGCGGGCGAUAUACUGAACUAUGGUCACAGCAGAACAACAGUGAUGCCAAUGAUGCUUCUGCUGUCUAGGAGUUUGAUAAACCAAAUAUGUUUUCCCUUUGCAAGGGGAACAAUAAUUUUGUACACUUUAGAAUAAAUUUUCCCAUUUCAAAGAUGGUUGCUGAUUAUUGACGAGUUGCUGCUGACUUGCACUUUGGAGAAAGCUAGGCACGAGCACUGAAGAUUGGUGGAUCACGGCCCGGAGAGGAGCACCUAAACGCCUGCGGAGAGAUUUCGACACUUUCACGAUUUUGGUCCAUUGGCGGAUUUGGAAAGAGCGCAAGGCCAUGAUUUUUCACUCAGAGACCAGCACCAUCGAUCGCAUCUUCGACCUCAUCAUUGAUGAUCUUCACUCCUGGAGGGUGGUUGGCUGCAUCAUCGCUUUCUAAGGGCUCCCUGUCCCAUUUGUAAUCUGUAGUUUUUAGAGGCUUCAGUUAGUGCCUGUGGUGUUUGCUCUUUGAGGUUGUUUUCGUGCUGCAAAUUCUCUUUGUAGUUUGACGUUGUACUGUCUUUGUUUCUAUCUAAUAAAAUUCGGUCUCCGGCCCUUCGAGAUUUA